CCAGAAUCUGUUCUUUGCCUUCGUCUACAACGCUCUCGGCGUCCCGGUUGCAGCGGGUGUCCUGUACCCGUUCUUUGGCCUGCUUCUUAGCCCGAUGCUCGCCAGUGCCGCUAUGACCUUCAGCUCCGUGUCAGUGAUCGCAAACG
rnacentral:misc_RNA from 1 species